AGAGUUUGAUCCUGGCUCAGAUUGAACGCUGGCGGCAUGCCUAACACAUGCAAGUCGAACGAUGUUUUUCAGCUUGCUCUAAUGAUUAGUGGCGGACGGGUGAGUAAUGUAUAGGGAUCUGCCUGUUAGUGGGGGACAACAGCCGGAAACGGCUGCUAAUACCGCAUACGCUCUACGGAGGAAAGUGGGGGACCCUCGGGCCUCACGCUAACAGAUGAACCUAUAUUGGAUUAGCUAGUUGGUAGGGUAAAGGCCUACCAAGGCGACGAUCCAUAGCUGGUUUGAGAGAAUGAUCAGCCACACUGGGACUGAGACACGGCCCAGAUUCCUACGGGAGGCAGCAGUGGGGAAUAUUGGACAAUGGGCGAAAGCCUGAUCCAGCAAUGCCGCGUGUGUGAAAAAGGCCUUCGGGUUGUAAAGCACUUUAAGUUGGGAGGAAAAGCUGAGGGUUAAUAGCCUUUAGUGUUGACGUUACCAACAGAAUAAGCACCGGCUAACUCCGUGCCAGCAGCCGCGGUAAUACGGAGGGUGCAAGCGUUAAUCGGAAUUACUGGGCGUAAAGCGCGCGUAGGCGGUUAUUUAAGUCAGAUGUGAAAGCCCCGGGCUUAACCUGGGAAUGGCAUUUGAGACUGGAUGGCUAGAGUAUGGUAGAGGUGAGUGGAAUUUCAGGUGUAGCGGUGAAAUGCGUAGAGAUCUGAAGGAACAUCAGUGGCGAAGGCGACUCACUGGGCCAUUACUGACGCUGAGGUGCGAAAGCGUGGGUAGCAAACAGGAUUAGAUACCCUGGUAGUCCACGCCCUAAACGAUGUCAACUAGGUGUAUGGAGAAUUUAUUCUUUGUGUAUCGAAGCUAACGCGAUA
rnacentral:rRNA from 1 species